AUUGCCUCAGUAACGGCGAGUGAAGCGGCAACAGCUCAAAUUUGAAAGCUGGCCCCCCCGGGGGUCCGCGUUGUAAUUUGUAGAGGAUGAUUCGGCGAGGGCUCCCGCCUAAGUCCCCUGGAACGGGGCGUCAUAGAGGGUGAGAAUCCCGUAUGCGGUGGGCUGCCUUAGCCAUGUGAAUCUCCUUCGACGAGUCGAGUUGUUUGGGAAUGCAGCUCUAAAUGGGAGGUAAAUUUCUUCUAAAGCUAAAUACCGGCCAGAGACCGAUAGCGCACAAGUAGAGUGAUCGAAAGAUGAAAAGCACUUUGGAAAGAGAGUUAAAAAGUACGUGAAAUUGUUGAAAGGGAAGCGCUUGCAGCCAGACUUGUCCGCAGUUGCUCAGCCGGUCUCCUGACCGGCGCACUCUUCUGCGGCCAGGCCAGCAUCAGUUCGGGCGGUCGGAUAAAGGCCCCGGGAACGUAGCUCCUCUCGGGGAGUGUUAUAGCCCGGGGUGGAAUGCGGCCAGCCUGGACUGAGGAUCUCGCUUCGGCUAGGAUGCUGGCGUAAUGGCUGUAAGCGGCCCGUCUUGAAACACGGACCAAGGAGUCUAACAUCUAUGCGAGUGUUUGGGUGUCAAACCCAUGCGCGUAAUGAAAGUGAACGGAGGUGGGAACCCUCGCGGGUGCACCAUCGACCGAUCCUGAUGUCUUCGGAUGGAUUUGAGUAAGAGCAUAGCUGUUGGGACCCGAAAGAUGGUGAACUAUGCCUGAAUAGGGUGAAGCCAGAGGAAACUCUGGUGGAGGCUCGCAGCGGUUCUGACGUGCAAAUCGAUCGUCAAAUUUGGGUAUAGGGGCGAAAGACUAAUCGAACCAUCGACUACUAGGUGGUUAAGAGGUGGCUGAAAGUGCCCACCUAGUCCCCCCGUCCGAGGACGGGGGGGCGACAUCGCCAAAUUGCGGGGACUCCCUUAGAGCCUCUACUACCGCGGCCGGCCGAAAGGCGCGGUGCAGCACCGGGUUAAUUGCCUAGGGUACGGUAAAAAGGUAGAGGAUUGGGAAAUCCGCAGCCAAGCGCCUAAGUCCCGCGGGAUACGGCGAAGGUUCAGAGACUAGAUGGCGGUGGGUCCGGCCCGAGGGCCGGGCCUAAGGUAUAGUCCACCCCCCGCGGAGACGC
rnacentral:rRNA from 1 species